rnacentral:rRNA from 1 species
CGGUGACAAACCGGAGGAAGGUGGGGAUGACGUCAAAUCAUCAUGCCCCUUAUGAUUUGGGCUACACACGUGCUACAAUGGACAAUACAAAGGGCAGCGAAACCGCGAGGUCAAGCAAAUCCCAUAAAGUUGUUCUCAGUUCGGAUUGUAGUCUGCAACUCGACUACAUGAAGCUGGAAUCGCUAGUAAUCGUAGAUCAGCAUGCUACGGUGAAUACGUUCCCGGGUCUUGUACACACCGCCCGUCACACCACGAGAGUUUGUAACACCCGAAGCCGGUGGAGUAACCUUUUAGGAGCUAGCCGUCGAAGGUGGGACAAAUGAUUGGGGUGAAGUCGUAACAAGGUAGCCGUAUCGGAAGGUGCGGCUGGAUCACCUCCUUUCUAAGGA